rnacentral:rRNA from 1 species
GACGAACGCUGGCGGCGUGCUUAACACAUGCAAGUCGAACGGAAAGGCCCUGCUUUUGUGGGGUGCUCGAGUGGCGAACGGGUGAGUAACACGUGAGUAACCUGCCCUUGACUUUGGGAUAACUUCAGGAAACUGGGGCUAAUACCGGAUAGGAGCUCCUGCUGCAUGGUGGGGGUUGGAAAGUUUCGGCGGUUGGGGAUGGACUCGCGGCUUAUCAGCUUGUUGGUGGGGUAGUGGCUUACCAAGGCUUUGACGGGUAGCCGGCCUGAGAGGGUGACCGGCCACAUUGGGACUGAGAUACGGCCCAGACUCCUACGGGAGGCAGCAGUGGGGAAUAUUGUACAAUGGGCGGAAGCCUGAUGCAGCAACGCCGCGUGCGGGAUGACGGCCUUCGGGUUGUAAACCGCUUUCGCCUGUGACGAGGCGUGAGUGACGGUAAUGGGUAAAGAAGCACCGGCUAACUACGUG